rnacentral:lncRNA from 1 species
GGAAUUUUUAGGAGGCAGGGGAUUUGGGGAGAUGUGAGGGGUCCUGGGGGAUUUUGGGGGGUUUGGGGGAUCCGGGUGAAUUUCGUUUGAUUUUGGGUGAAUUUUGGGUGAUUUUGGGUGAAUUUGGGUGGAUUUUGUUGAAUUUUGGGUGAAUUUUGGGUGAAUUUUGUGUGGAUUUCGGGUGAAUUUCGAUGGAUUUUGGGUGAAUUUUGGGCGAAUUUUGGGUGAAUUUUGGGUGAAUUUUGUUGGAUUUUGGGGUCACCCGGGGGUCCCCGUGCCCCUCCCCCAGCCCCGCAAGCCCCGCAGCGCCCCCUGCUGGACAACUACGACUGCAAGUGAGUGGGGGAGGGGCGGGAGGGGGCGGGGCCAGAGGGGGGCGGGGCCGGACCCGUCUGACCCCUCCCCCUCCCCUCCCCCCCCCCAGGCCGCCCCCCGGCGCCUCUCCCCCCCCCCGUUCAUCCUGCUGAAGCCGCGAUGUGAGUGACCUCUGACCCCCGAGUGACCUCUGACCCCCGAGUGACCAAUGAGUGACCACUGACCCCUCCCCCACCCUCCGUUUGCCCCUCCCCCAUUCUGCCCCUCCCCAUUUCCCAUUUCGCCCCUCCCCCUUUUCAUCUCUGGCCCCUCCCCCCUCCGCAGGUGCCCCUCCCCCACACACCCCGCAGCCGCCCUGGGCGGAGCCUCGGACACUGGGCCCCCCCCAGGCCCCCCCGAGCCGCCGCGUCUCGGCCGAACCCGACUCCGGUGAGUGACCCCUGAGUGACCUCUGACCCCUGAGUGACCCAAAUGAGUGACCUCAAUGAGUGACCUCUGUGUGACCUUUGACCCCCCAGACCCCCCCGAGGACGGCGAUUACACCAACGAACCUUUCGCCAGCGGCUACGUGACGGUGCUGCCGGACCCGACCCCUCCCAGUGACGUCAUCGAUGAUGUCACGGCCGACCCCGGUGACGUCAUCGGGGCGGGGGAGGGGCCGGAGGAGGGGGAGGGGGAGGAGCCGUACGAGAACAUCCCCGAGGGAGAGGGCGGCAACUCCCGGGUGCCCAGCCUGGAGUACAUCAACGUGCCGGGAACCGAGGCGAGCGAGAGCGACGAAGGCGCCGACUACGAGAACCUCUGAGGUGGGGCCCGAGAAACCCCAAACCCGCCCGAAAUUCCCGAUUUCCCCCUUUUUCCCCCGUUUCUCACACGGAUUUAUUUUCUCUCUGUUUCUCUCGCAGCCCCUCCCCCCACCCCCGUUAUUUAUUGGCUGCCGACGAAUCCUGAGAAGGGCCCCGCCCACACUCCGACAAGCCCCGCCCCCUUUUCUACGAGCCCUCCCCCCACUCUCAUUUGCCCCUCCCCCACCCCAAUAAAGGCACUUUUGAGGUCACUUCCGGUGGGGAGGGGUUUGUUGGGGUGGGGGAGGGGCGGGGCUGAACCCC